UACGUAGGGUGCAGGCGUUUAAUCGGAAUUACUGGGCGUAAAGCGUGCGCAGGCGGUUUGCUAAGACAGGUGUGAAAUCCCCGGGCUUAACCUGGGAACUGCGCUUGUAACUGGCAAGCUAGAGUGUGGCAGAGGGGGGUGGAAUUCCACGUGUAGCAGUGAAAUGCGUAGAGAUGUGGAGGAACACCGAUGGCGAAGGCAGCCCCCUGGGUCAAACUGACGCUCAUGCACGAAAGCGUGGGGAGCAACAGG
rnacentral:rRNA from 1 species